rnacentral:rRNA from 1 species
AGAGUUUGAUCCUGGCUCAGAUUGAACGCUGGCGGCAGGCCUAACACAUGCAAGUCGAGCGGUAGAGAGAAGCUUGCUUCUCUUGAGAGCGGCGGACGGGUGAGUAAUGCCUAGGAAUCUGCCUGGUAGUGGGGGAUAACGUUCGGAAACGGACGCUAAUACCGCAUACGUCCUACGGGAGAAAGCAGGGGACCUUCGGGCCUUCCGCUAUCAGAUGAGCCUAGGUCGGAUUAGCUAGUUGGUGAGGUAAUGGCUCACCAAGGCGACGAUCCGUAACUGGUCUGAGAGGAUGAUCAGUCACACUGGAACUGAGACACGGUCCAGACUCCUACGGGAGGCAGCAGUGGGGAAUAUUGGACAAUGGGCGAAAGCCUGAUCCAGCCAUGCCGCGUGUGUGAAGAAGGUCUUCGGAUUGUAAAGCACUUUAAGUUGGGAGGAAGGGUUGUAGAUUAAUACUCUGCAAUUUUGACGUUACCGACAGAAUAAGCACCGGCUAACUCUGUGCCAGCAGCCGCGGUAAUACAGAGGGUGCAAGCGUUAAUCGGAAUUACUGGGCGUAAAGCGCGCGUAGGUGGUUUGUUAAGUUGGAUGUGAAAUCCCCGGGCUCAACCUGGGAACUGCAUUCAAAACUGACUGACUAGAGUAUGGUAGAGGGUGGUGGAAUUUCCUGUGUAGCGGUGAAAUGCGUAGAUAUAGGAAGGAACACCAGUGGCGAAGGCGACCACCUGGACUAAUACUGACACUGAGGUGCGAAAGCGUG